rnacentral:misc_RNA from 1 species
AUUUUCACUUCCUUCAAAACCCUCUCUCUCUAUUCUUCUUGCUCUAAAAUCUCAGCUUCCGUGUUUUUGGUUUCGAUAGAUCGAUCAGUCAAUCUCUUGAUUAGGUCGAUCUUCUUCUCAUGGCUGAUCGCAGAUCGUUUGGACUGGGCCCGCGAUUAGAUAUUCAACAAUUAUUUUUAGAAGCACAACACAGAUGGUUGCGGCCUGCUGAGAUUUGUGAAAUUCUUCGUAAUUAUCAGAAGUUCCAUAUUGCAUCAGAGCCUCCAAAUAGGCCACCAAGUGGUUCUCUAUUUCUUUUUGAUCGGAAGGUUUUGAGGUACUUUAGAAAAGAUGGACACAAUUGGAGGAAAAAAAAGGAUGGAAAGACUGUGAAGGAAGCUCAUGAGAAGCUGAAGGUUGGAAGUGUUGAUGUGUUACACUGCUAUUAUGCCCAUGGAGAAGAGAAUGAGAGCUUUCAAAGGCGCAGCUAUUGGAUGCUUGAACAGGAACUGACGCAUAUAGUUUUUGUCCACUACUUGGAAGUGAAGGUAGUCCAUUGUUCUGGUUCUUCAUUAUACUAAUGCAGCUUCCAAUACUGAAAUACUCUUGCAUAGCGUUUUUGAAGGAUAAGAAAACAAAGAAUUGCAAAUGGCUCUGUCGCUAUUUCUUCUAUAGUUUUUAAGUAGUGCAUGCAACAAAGUUCAGGUUGGUUAAGUCCUGGUUUUCUCAAAAAUAGCAGCCUUUUAAAACAUUUUUGCAAUCAGGGUAACAGGACGAAUAGCAGCCCUUCAAAUAGCUUAGUUGCAAGUCAUAACAAAGAGCCUUCAGGAAAUACGGAUUCAACAAGCCCAACUAGUACUCUUACAUCAUUUUGUGAAGAUGCUGAUUCAGCGGACAGUCAGCAAUCAAGUUUUGUACGCCGCUCAUUUCUUGAGUCACCACAAAUGCAGAAUAGUCCUGUGAUGGACGAAAUAAAUGCUGGUGUAUUGAGUUCUCUGCAUCAUGGUUCAGAUAAUCAUGAAGGGCAGUCAUCGGUUCCUGUAAUAGGUCCAAAUUCAUAUGUUCAUGGAGAUGGACCCGGAUCUAAUGAUGGAACUUGCAUUGCUGAGUCUCAAAGCUUGGUAUCCUGGGAGGAGGUCUUGGAACAAUGUACAAUGGGACACAAAAGUACACCAUCUAAUUUGUCAGUUAAUGCCAUUCAAUCUAAUCCUACUAGUCUUGGAAGUUAUGAGGUUCUCAGUGAGAUUUUAUCUGGUGGGAAUGCUGCCAAAGAUGAGUAUGGUGGUUCUUUGCUAAUGGAAUCACAUUGGCAGAUUCCUUUCGAGAACAGUUCCUUGGACUUGCCGGAGGGCCCUAUUGACCAAACACUAGAUUUGGAGUUGGCAUAUAAUUUGGAUCCCAGGUUGUUUGAUCAAAGAUCUCAUAAUGUGGAUCUACAAAAUACAUUUGAGGAAUUUUUCUCUGGUCCUGUUCAGCACAAUGAAGAAGUUGUGCAGAAUCACCUUCAAAUGCAGCUCUCAAAUGCAGAACCACAAUCUGAAAUGCACACAAAAUCUGAGAACGAAAUGUCUGUGGGAGAAAAUAUUAAAUAUGCUUUCGUUGCUAAACCGCCAUUAUUAGAUGGGGAAGAGAGCUUGAAAAAAGUUGACAGCUUUUCUCGGUGGGUUACUAAAGAACUUGGAGAGGUGGAUGAUUUGCAUAUGAGGUCCACGUCUGGUCUUUCAUGGAGUACUGUUGAAUGUGGAAAUGUGGUCGAUGAAGAAUCAUUGAGCCCCUCUCUUUCGCAAGACCAACUUUUCAGCAUUGUUGAUUUUUCACCAAAGUGGGCAUAUGCAGACUCAAAAACAGAGGUUCAUAUUAUUGGAACAUUUUUGAGGAGUCAGCAAGAGAUGGCAAAAUGUAAUUGGUCUUGCAUGUUUGGGGAAGUUGAAGUACCUGCUGAGGUUUUGGCAGAUGGGAUUCUUUGUUGCUAUGCUCCGCCUCACAAUGUUGCAAGAGUUCCUUUUUAUGUUACAUGUUCCAACAGGUUGGCUUGUAGUGAAGUGCGAGAAUUUGAUUAUCAGGUGGGUUCUACUCGAGAUGUAGAUGUCAAAGAUGUUUAUGGUGCUAGUACCAACAAAAUGCUUCUGCAUCUGCGACUUGAGAGGUUACUGUUUGUAAGAGCUUCCAGUCCUCCAGAUCAUCUCUUUGAUGGUGCUAGAGGGAAACAGAAAUUGGUCAGUGAGAUCAUUUUAUUGAGGGAGGAAGAUGAGGGUUACCAAAUGGCAGAACCAAGCUCUGAGAGACAUCUGUCCCAAGAUGAAAUAAAAUGGCAGGUUCUUCAGAAGGCAAUGCAAGAGAAGUUGUAUUCAUGGCUUCUUCAUAUGGUAGCUGAAAAUGGCAAAGGGCCUAGUGUCUUGGAUGAUGAUGGGCAAGGCGUGCUACAUUUAGCAGCUGCUCUUGACUAUGACUGGGCUAUAAAGCCAACCUUGACUGCUGGAGUCUCUAUCAAUUUCCGUGAUGUGAAUGGAUGGACAGCCCUUCAUUGGGCUGCAUUCUAUGGCAGAGAGCAGACAGUUGCUGCCCUUGUCUCGUUGGGUGCAGAUACUCGGGUAUUGACAGAUCCAUCUCCAGAAUUUCCUUUGGGUAGAACUCCGGCAGACCUUGCUUCAGGCAAUGGACACAAAGGAAUCUCUGGUUUCCUUGCAGAGUCGUCUUUGACAAGCUACCUACAAUUGCUUACGCUAAGUGAUUCAACGGAAGGUGGUUCACCAGACAUCUCAGCAACGACAGCUGUGCAAACAAUUGCAGAACGGAUGGCCACUCCUGUGAAUGAUGGUGAUGUGCCUAAUGUGCUGUCACUGAAGGAUUCACUGACUGCCAUUCGUAAUGCUACACAAGCAGCUGAUCGUUUACAUCAAGUAUUCAGGAUGCAAUCAUUCCAGCGGAAACAGUUAACUGAGUAUGGUGAUGAUGAUUUCAAUACGUUGGAUGAUCGUGCUCUUGCACUUAUAGCCGCCAAGACACACAAGCCUAUGCAUUCUGAUGGACAAGUCAAUGCUGCAGCUAUUCAAAUCCAGAAGAAGUUCCGUGGUUGGAAAAAGAGAAAAGAAUUCCUGAUAAUUCGGCAAAGAAUUGUUAAGAUACAGGCCCAUGUGAGGGGACACCAGGUAAGGAAGCAAUAUAGAACAAUAAUCUGGUCAGUUGGAAUUUUGGAGAAGGUUAUUUUGCGUUGGAGACGUAAAGGAAGUGGUCUGCGGGGAUUCCGCCGAGAUGCACUUACUAAGGAUUCCAAUAUGCAAUGCGUGCCUAAAGAAGAGGACGAUUAUGAUUUUCUGAAGGAAGGAAGGAAACAAAAUGAGGAGAGGCAGCAAAAAGCACUAACCAGGGUGAAAUCCAUGUAUCAUUGUGAGGAAGGACAAGCUCAAUACAGAAGGCUGCUGACUUAUUUUGAAAAACUCCAGGAAACUCCGGAAUGUGAUAUGGUACUGAGCAGUCCCAAUGAAAUGAGGUAUGCUAAUGAAGAACUUUAUGAUUCACUUUUGGACGAUGACACUUUCAUGUCAAUAGCAUUUGAGUGAAAUUGGGCAGUAAUGAUUUGCCUCAUCUGUAGAUAGAUGAAUGCCCUAACUUUAUUACCUGUAUUAUGUAAAUAUCUAACCAAUGUAGAAACUAGUACCUCUGUCAUAAUGCGAGGGUUUGUAUACGUAGUGUGGACAAGCAAUAGCUUACUUCUCAGGUUCUGCUUUUAAUUUUCGGUGAUUUUUGUUCAGUCUUUAAAAGGGCAUUAGUCUAUUUAUUUCAUUAGAAGACAAGACUACCGAUUCUGUAAUAAUUUCUUGUUUGAGAUUGAUUUGUAAAAGUGUGAUGUGUAGCAUUUGAUUUUAAACAUUUUGUUGACUGUGUUGAAGCAUUGCAAUUUCAGAAGC